rnacentral:rRNA from 1 species
GACGAACGCUGGCGGCGUGCCUAAUACAUGCAAGUCGAACGCAGUGGGGACGGGUGAGUAACACGUGGGUAACCUCCCAUCAGAGGGGAUAACACUUGGAAACAGGUGCUAAACCGAUACUGAUGUAUGGACCCGCGGUGCAUUAGCUAUUUGUUGAGGUAACGGCUACCCAAGGCGACGAUGCAUAGCCGACCUGAGAGGGUGAUCAGCCACACUGGGACUGAGACACGGCCCAGACUCCUACGGGAGGCAGCAGUAGGGAAGCUUCGGCAAGGGACGAAAGUCUGACCGAGCAAGGCCGCGUGAGUGAAGAAGGUUUUCGGAUCGUAAAACUCUGUUGUUAGAGAAGCGGUAUCUAACCAGAAAGCCACGGCUAACUCCGUGCCAGCAGCCGCGGUAAUUC